GAUGAACGCUGGCGGUAUGCUUAACACAUGCAAGUCGAACGGGAUUCUUCGGAAUCUAGUGGCGGACGGGUGAGUAACGCGUGAGAAUCUGCCUUCAGGUCGGGGACAACAUUUAGAAAUGGCUGCUAAUACCGGAUGUGCCGUAAGGUGAAAGAUUUAUUGCCUGAAAAAGAGCUCGCGUCAGAUUAGCUAGUAGGUGGUGUAAGAGACUACCUAGGCGACGAUCUGUAGCUGGACUGAGAGGACGAUCAGCCACACUGGAACUGAGACACGGUCCAGACUCCUACGGGAGGCAGCAGUGGGGAAUUUUCCGCAAUGGGCGAAAGCCUGACGGAGCAAUACCGCGUGAGGGACGAAGGCUUUUGGGUCGUAAACCUCUUUUAUUAGGGAAGAUUUCAGGACGGUACCUAAUGAAUAAGCAUCGGCUAGCUCUGUGCCAGCAGCCGCGGUAAU
rnacentral:rRNA from 1 species